AGUGAACGCUGGCGGUAGGCCUAACACAUGCAAGUCGAACGGCAGCACAGGAGAGCUUGCUCUCUAGGUGGCGAGUGGCGGACGGGUGAGGAAUACAUCGGAAUCUGCUCAGUCGUGGGGGAUAACGUAGGGAAACUUACGCUAAUACCGCAUACGACCUUCGGGUGAAAGAGGGGGAUCGCAAGACCUCUCGCGAUUGGAUGAGCCGAUGUCGGAUUAGCUAGUUAGCGGGGUAAUGGCCCACCAAGGCGACGAUCCGUAGCUGGUCUGAGAGGAUGAUCAGCCACACUGGAACUGAGACACGGUCCAGACUCCUACGGGAGGCAGCAGUGGGGAAUAUUGGACAAUGGGCGCAAGCCUGAUCCAGCCAUACCGCGUGGGUGAAGAAGGCCUUCGGGUUGUAAAGCCCUUUUGUUGGGAAAGAAAUCUUUCAGGCUAAUACCCUGGGAGGAUGACGGUACCCAAAGAAUAAGCACCGGCUAACUUCGUG
rnacentral:rRNA from 1 species